UUAUUGGAGAGUUUGAUCCUGGCUCAGGAUGAACGCUGGCGGCGUGCCUAAUACAUGCAAGUCGAGCGAA
rnacentral:rRNA from 5 species